CUUGGCACUAAAGCCCCUUCCCGGUUCUCUUCCGUGCCCAGGCCGUGCGGGCUCUGCGGCUCUCUUGGGAGCAGAUGGAGACUGUCCCUUGGACGGCUUUGCGGGCCGUGCCGCAGGCAGCACCCCUGUCUGCCCUGCAGGGCCCUGAUCCGCAGCGCCUGAUGCCGCCCCUGUGUGCAGGGGUGAGGCCUGCUGGAUGAGCCCACCAUAUGCAGAGCCAUCAUGGGAGUUGUAUCAGGAAUAUUCUAGACCCCAGUGUCCUUGAGCUUGGAGAAAGAUGAGAUCACGUUGGAACCCAGACACUUGUGACCACCUGCUCUCUGGCAUCCUCCUCACUCUAGGAGAGCUGCCUUGGAUCUGGAGAUUGCUGGAGGAAGCCUGAGGGGAUGGAGGCACUGGCCCUCUCAGGAUGACCUGGGUCUCAGCUGCCCUGGAGAGAACUCCUCAUGAUUAUGCUGGGAUUGAUCGUGGACACUAGAGUAGUAUGAUGAAGAAUAAUGUUGCCAUGUGAAGCAUCACCAGACCUUCUUACCCUGUUGCCUCAGUACAGCAUGGAACGACUUUUCUCUCUGUGUAAGCAGGCCCAGUAAGCAAGGAAAGCCCUGGGACCCUAGAGGCUUGUGGUCCAGAGCUAGAGACUUCAGCUGGUUCUGCCGCUCCCCCAGUGGUGUCACCGAGCACCAUGAACCAGGAAGACCGGUUCCCUUCCACCUGGGUCACGUUGUCCAGCAGCCUCCACGUCUCCCCGCCUACUCCUCCCGUAACUUUUUAGAACCAAGAGUUUUCGGUACUGUGCAUCGUUGUCCUCUCACCCACCCAAUAAAUCUUGAAACUGCC